UACGUAGGGUGCGAGCGUUAAUCGGAAUUACUGGGCGUAAAGCGUGCGCAGGCGGUUCGUUAAGACAGAUGUGAAAUCCCCGGGCUCAACCUGGGAACUGCGUUUGUGACUGGCGGGCUGGAGUGUGGCAGAGGGGGGUAGAAUUCCACGUGUAGCAGUGAAAUGCGUAGAGAUGUGGAGGAAUACCGAUGGCGAAGGCAGCCCCCUGGGUUGACACUGACGCUCAUGCACGAAAGCGUGGGGAG
rnacentral:rRNA from 1 species